rnacentral:tRNA from 1 species
GUGACGGUAGCUCAACGGUGGAGCGCUGGGAUGUGGCCCCAGUGGUUGCGGGUUCAACUCCCGUCCGUCACCCCA